CCCGCAAAGCUAACAUAAGAUCCCGGAAAGAGCAGAGCCUGAGAAAAUCAAAUUAGAGCCUGCACUUUUCAUUUCUACCUGUAGGUGUCACUGUUCCGUUGUAGCUCAAUGUAAAUAGUUACUGCGUUCCUCUCUGGACUUUUCUCCCCCUUCCUGAUCCUGAACUCUAGUGCGGUGUCAGACAGCAGCAGACCUGUUAUAUAUAGAGGUGAGGUAGUAGAGGAUGUCACUAAAUAUAGCAGGGACGAGCUGCCAGCUGAAGUGACAACACCAACUUAUUCUAAAGAUGAGGAUGAUUUUCUAAAAUCUAUCAUCCCAGUUUACAAGUUCGGGAAGAGCAAUGGCGAAAUCGUUGUUCCGUUUCUUGUUGGUGCAAUUAUUUCUCUAAUUGUGAUAGGAUUCACGUGUCAGUACUUCAAGCGGAAGGGUCAGAAGAAAGACAGUGUCACCAGCAUGGAAGAAGGGAUACCAAGUGAGGAGGAAGAGGAGUCCAGCACUGAGCAUUUUUCUGCCCUAGAGGGGUAACUCCUCUUUCAAAUUAGCCUGUAAAUAUCAUAUGGCCAAUGUAACACAGCAGUUAGAAAACUGUAAAUAAAUAUAGAUAUAAUUCUGUACUAGA